GGGGAGGGGGGGGUGCCCGGGUUUCUCUUCUUUCUCUGCGCCGGCCAUUUUGUUGGUGUGAAGGGAGCGGCGGUGGGGACGGCGCCGGGGACGGGGACGGCCGUGCUUUCGGAGCGGCGGCGCUGGUGUCGGGGCCACUUCAGUGCGAGGCACCCAGCGGGGCCACCGGCCUCGGCGUGACAUCGCCAGCGGCCCGAUAGCGGCAGCCCGAGGAGGAGCUGAGCCCUCUUCCCUCCUCUCCUCCGCCUCCGUGCGGGUACAGCCCGGCCGCCGCCUCGCAGUCUCAUGGAGCAGCCCAUGGCGGCCGCCGGCUCCGAGGAGUUUCCCGAGGGGGCCAAGAUAAACGCCAGCAAAAACGAAGAGGAUGAAGGAAAAAUGUUCAUUGGGGGUCUUAGCUGGGAUACAAGCAAGAAGGAUUUGACAGAUUACUUGUCCAGGUUCGGUGAAGUAGUGGACUGUACUAUAAAAAUGGAUGCGGUGACGGGACGGUCAAGAGGAUUUGGUUUUGUACUAUUCAGAGAACCUGCAAGUGUGGACAGGGUGUUGGAACUGAAGGAACACAAGCUUGAUGGGAGACUUAUUGACCCUAAAAGAGCAAAGGCAAUAAAGGGCAAGGAGCCAGCUAAGAAAGUUUUUGUUGGUGGUCUAAGUCCUGAUGUACCUGAAGAAAUGGUUAAGGACUACUUUGGAGCAUAUGGAGAGAUCGAAGGCAUUGAACUUCCCAUUGACAAUAAGACGAAUGAACGGAGAGGAUUCUGCUUUAUCACAUUCAAGGAAGAAGAACCAGUGAAAAGGCUGCUGGAAAAUAAGUAUCAUAACAUAGGCUCUAGCAAGUGUGAAAUUAAAGUGGCGCAGCCCAAGGAAGUCUACAGGCAACAGCAGCAACGAGGAGGCAGAGGUGGAGGUGGGUUUGGUGGAAGAGGUCGUGGUAGAGGGGGACAAAAUCAGAACUGGAACCAGGGAUACAACAGCUACUGGAAUCAAGGUUAUAGUAGUUACAACAAUGGCUAUAGCAAUCCAGGUUACAAUGGAUAUGGAGGUUAUGAUUACUCUGGGUAUAACUACAACAACUACGGAUAUGCUCCAGAAUAUGAUACCUACAAUACAAAUGUGCCUCCUGAUGGUCAAUCAAGGAACGGCAUUGAUGGUCGUGGAGAAGUCUGCGGCCUGGACUGCCUCACCCUCUCUGCUGAAGGAGGCUGUUUAGAGGCAAGUGGCCAGGUCAGCAGAGCAGCUAUGGGAAGGCAUCUAGAGGUGCAGGCAGUCACCAGAAUAACUACCAACCAUACUAAAGAAAAAUUGAUAUAGUUAUUUCACUGCAGCGGGAACUUCAUUGCAGGACACGUGUCACCCUGACCACACGAUUCUCUUGGGGCCGCGCAUUGCGGACAGAACGUGAGGUGUGCUCGUGAAAAUGCUGCCCUGUGGUGGAGAAACGGAGGUAUAAACAUCAGUAUAGCAGAAGAGCAUGUCAAGAGGAAAUGUUAAACCUGAGAGCAUCUGUGUUUUCCUUUGGGACUUUUGUACCACAUGAAAUCUGAAGUCAACAUCUUUUAUGUCCCAAGUGUAUAUAGCAUCUAAACAUUUUUAUGUUAUAGUUACUUUGCUUUGUAUGAUUUGAGAAACUCAUUCCUUAACUUCUGUGUACUGUGAUAGUAUAUAAUAAAGUUGUUACUAACUGGUGUGAUGCAA